GACGAACGCUGGCGGCGUGCUUAACACAUGCAAGUCGAACGGGUCUGCCCUGUUUUUUGCGGGGUGGGUCAGUGGCGAACGGGUGAGUAACACGUGAGUAACCUGCCCCUCACUUCUGGAUAACCGCUUGAAAGGGUGGCUAAUACGGGGUGUUCUGGCUGUGCCGCAUGGUGUGGCUGGGAAAGAUUCACUUUUGUGGUGUUUUGGUGGGGGAUGGGCUCGCGGCCUAUCAGCUUGUUGGUGGGGUGAUGGCCUGCCAAGGCUUUGACGUGUAGCCGGCCUGAGAGGGUGGGCGGUCACACUGGGACUGAGAUACGGCCCAGACUCCGGCGGGAGGCAGCAGUGGGGGGUAUUGCACAAUGGGCGGAAGCCUGAUGCAGCGACGUCGCGUGAGGGAUGGAGGCCUUCGGGUUGUGAACCUCUUUCGCCGGUGAAGAAGGUCCUGCUCUUUGUGGUGGGGUUGACGGUAGCCGGGUUAUGAAGCGCCGGCUAACUACGUG
rnacentral:rRNA from 1 species